GCCUCUGUAGCUUAACGGAUAGAGCACUGGUCUUCGGAACCAGGUUUUGUGCGGGUUCGAUUCCUGCCAGAGGCG
rnacentral:tRNA from 1 species